rnacentral:lncRNA from 1 species
AGAAGUCCAACAACUGGGACACCAGCUGAGAGACUGACAAAAUGCAAAAAGCAAAGAUGUAUAUAAACUACUCUUAGUAGCUAGAAAAAAAUCAUGAUGAUGUGAAGGAAGUUCUCGUUAUAAUAAAAGCUUGCAAAGCUACAUCAUUGUCCAGAGUGACCGCAGAGGCCUGUUAUUUUCAUGUGCACAAGAUGAAAAAGACAAGAGUCAUACACCCAUAAAACUCACAGUAAAGUUGCAUUCAGUGGCCGUGGCAGAUCAUUACAUCGUUAUGAACUUACAUGCUUUUCAGACAUAGAGGUUCUUUGAUAUUCCUGUGAAUAAGCUAUUGGCAGAAUUUAUAAUCUGCAAUGAACUGAAGUACCUAUUGCAGAAUGAAGAAACUGUAGCAUGCUUUCCUCUAACGUAGUUAUAACCAAGUGGUUUUAUUAAUUGUGGACUAACUAAAUGCAGAAUGUGCUUCAAUUCACAAAGACUAAAAGAAAACCUGAGAAGUAGAAAGGAUGAAUUUGGUUAGUGAUAU